UUGCGCAAUGCUCGAAACACAGAGUUAUUUUCUUCAUUAAGCAACUUCUGUUGUAGAAGUUAUCUGACUACAUCCUUUACGUUUACAAAAGAGAAGGACCCACCAGCACCGUGCUCUUGCUUCAGAAGUACUGAGAAGUACUGAGGAGCGUAACACCUCUGCUUUGAGGUGAUGGCAAAACCAUCUGUGAUCUUCUCCUGGUGCUUGAAAAACAAGUUUCAUAGCACUUCAUCUUCAAAGCCUGAGGAAGCUCUUGGCUGCACAGGAGAGCUCUCCUGCCUUUCUGGUAUCUACCAACCUUCUUGUUCAGCCUUCUGUAGCUCUGGGAUGAGGAGAUGUCACUACUCUCUUCUAUUCUUCUAUUCUCUGUCUUCCCACAGCCACCACAGGCAGUGCCAUGCAGAAUGACAGUUGGGGUCCUGCCUGCCUGUGGACAGGAAGUCCUGCUUCCCACAAAAGCUGAGUUCCAGAGAAGUUGGUGCCUUCAAGAAGUGAGAUGUCAGUUCAGCCUGCACCUAGCAUCCGCUUAUGAUGUCAUUUGGUACAAACUGGGAGUUGCUCUGAUCCUGAUUUCAUGCGAGGCAGAACUUUGAAGUUGGUGUAUGUGCAUUGGCUGUUAAAGCUCGUACCCUGGUGAUAGGCUAUACUAGUCAUGUUAUCUCCAAGAGAGCCGGAAGCUGAGUGCGAAGAUGUUAAGUGUUGAAGGUCAUGUAAUUCAUGUCCAUCCAGGUGCUCUUUCUCUAAUGCUCAUACUGCUCCAUUUUGCCUGACAUGCCAGUGUUAGGCAUCCUAGUGUGUGGACAAGGCAGUAAUAUCUUUAUCUUGUCUAUCUUAGAUAAAAACUCCAGAUGACCCACUGAUAAAAAUUCUCUUAGCAGAUGUCCUAUCUGUUCUCCCUCCUGCAAUGGGGUGGGGAGGAAUGGAGGUUAAAGGGGAAUUCUGGUAGAUGGGAUUAGAAUUACGGACUUCUCCCAAAAAUUACAUUUUAGGGGAAAAGACUCAUAAAUCGAUGAUCUGAGACCAUGGUGUGCUGAGAAGGGGGUGCUGAAGGCCCUGGGUUGCAAGCAGAGCCCUGUCUCUAAUGUUCACAUGACCCUGCUCAUCUUACCAGUGAUUUGGGGGAGAAAAUGAACUGGUCCCAAAUCAUUUAGUGCUUUGCAGGUUCAAACUAACACCUCAGAUUCUCCUUUGUAUUUGGUAGAUGGUCUGAACAGGUCUUCAUGCCCUGCUUCCUGUUGCGGCACGCGUCUGACUCUCUCUGACCUGGCUAGCGGCGGAGCAGCUGGAGACGGGCCGCAACAAGUGGUGGAGAAUGCAGGCACCCAGCGUGGGGCACAGCAGAGCGUCAACCUCCCAGCAAACAUGGGGUAUUGAGGAUGGUGCAGAGAGACUACCAAUGUGAGGCCCUAGAACACUGUGGGCUUUGGUACUCGGGAGCGAGGUUUCACGGGGACCAGCAGAGAAGAGAGGGGAUUUUUUGCAUUCUGCCCCCCAUGUGCCUGAAGCCACUGACCCUGAGAACAGAAUGGGAGAUGGAAUGGGACUGGCCACACAGCCACACCCCAGACAACCAACAUCAGGCCUCAAGAAAGAAGAAGCCACAACUGAUGGCAUCCAGGCAGCUUAUGGUGAGGAGCAAAGGACUUGCAAAGGACUCUGGGACCAAUUGGGAGUAGCCAUCCAGAUCAACAGCGCAUGAUUGGCCAGAAGGCUUCUAGAACAUUCUGAGAGACUACAUUCUAUGAGAGACUAUAUAUAUGCAUGUCGGCCCCACUUCAGGGUCUUCUGAAGCAGCCUCUUUAUGUUUUGUUUUGCACCCUUGUUUGCACCCUUUUAUUUAUUUAAUAAAUAUCUUCAGUUUUGGCA